rnacentral:sRNA from 1 species
UUUUCUCCAACAUGGCCGCGCCCAGGGGAGGUGGCGUGCAAGUAUCCGCUGCGGCGUUCUGGUGCUAGAGUGGAGAGGCUGGCAAAGAAGAAGGCACCCGCAUGUUUGCUAUGGACAGCAACCAUCAAAGUAAUUACAAACUCAGUAAAACUGAGAAGAAGUUCUUAAGGAAACAGAUUAAAGCCAAGCAUACUUUGCUGAGACAUGAAGGCAUUGAGACAGUAUCCUAUGCCACUCAGAGCCUGGUUGUUGCCAAUGGUGGUUUGGGUAAUGGUGUGAGUCGGAACCAGCUGCUCCCGGUUUUAGAGAAAUGUGGACUGGUGGAUGCUCUCUUAAUGCCACCUAACAAGCCCUACUCAUUUGCAAGAUACAAAACUACAGAAGAAUCUAAGAGAGCCUAUGUUACCCUCAAUGGAAAAGAAGUAGUGGAUGAUUUAGGACAAAAGAUCAUUCUGUAUUUGAAUUUUGUGGAAAAAGUGGAAGGAGUUGAGGCCUCAAGCCUUACCACCAGGACUCAUGGUAGUAGAAGAAAUAAUUUCUUCUGAGGAGGAGAAAAUGCUUUUGGAAAGUGUUGAUUGGACAGAAGAUACAGAC